CCCUUGAAAAGAGAGAAAAAUACAUAGUAAGGAAGGAGCUUGAAAAAAUCCCAAUGGACCUUGAUGGCAUUAAAGAGCUCUUUGUAUCCAAAGGCAUCUGCUACAAAGCUUCUCCACUGAACACCACAACAACCCACCCUUCCCUGUAGCUCUCUUAGAGAAUGCAAGAAUUAGACACUGGCAAGGGACAGUGCAGGGAAGCCCCUCGACCAGCUUUGUGUCCAGACAGCUCCACUCCAACCCCCUAGUUACCCAUCAGCCUGAUGAGUUAUUUUUUUUUCUUUUGAAAGUUUUUUCUUUUUUUUUCCAGGGGAGAGCGCGAACGCAGUCCCCCAGUACCACGAAUUAUGCAGUCAAGUUUCCGCAUUUGGGGAAAUCACAGGGGUCAGCACACCCGCAGUGCAAUGGAUGAGCCUCGCCCUGGGAAAACCACCUUCGUGAUCAUGGAAUCUCCCCUGCUAGGUAAGUAAGCCCCAGUAUUAGUGUUUUCCUCAAAGCGCUUGUGAUGGGGUAUACCACACCCUCUGAUGCUCCCUGCUGGAGACUUCAUGGCCCUGUCACACCCUGCCCCAAAAAAGAGCAGUGGAGAGGGUCCUCCAAGCUCCCUAGAGUGGCUGUGUGGGAUGCUACCAGUCAG